rnacentral:rRNA from 1 species
AAAAGAAUUAAUAAUUUUUAUUAUAGUUUAUUAGGUAUUGUAAAAGAAUUUUGAAAUAAUUGAAAAAUAUAUAAUUUUUAAGAAGGCUUAAUUUGGUGUACCUUGUGUAUCAGGGUUUAUUAAAUAUAUUUUUUGUAAAAAUUAAUCUCGAAAGAAAAGGAUAUAAAAAAAUAUAAUAGUUAAUGUUACAUAAUUAUUAUUAAUAUUUUUUUUGUAAUGAGAUGUUAUCCGGUUUUUCUGAUAUCUAGUUUUUUAAGAAAUAAAUUUAAUUUAGUUACUAUAAAUUUAUUAAUUUAUUUAAAUAAUAUAAUUAUUUUUAUAGUAAUAUUAUUUAACGGGAUGAGCUGUUAAAUAAAUUUUUAUAAUCUUUUUUUUUGUUAAUUUAUAAAUAUAUGCUUGGAAUUAGCAAUUAUUAAUAAAUUUGUUAUAAUUUAUAUUUUAUUAUGAAUAUUUAUUAAGAUUUAAUUGUUUUAUUAAAAUGUUUAACAGAAUUUUUAAGUUAAAUUAAUAAUGAUAAAAUUAGUAUAUUAUUUUUGUAAAAAUUUUUUAUAAUGAUAGGUUUAGUUAAGGAAUUCGGCAAAUAUUAUUUUCGCCUGUUUAACAAAAACAUGUCUUUUUGAGUUUAAUUUAAAGUCUAAUCUGCCCGCUGAUAAUAUAAAUUGAAUGGCCGCAGUAUUUUAACUGUGCAAAGGUAGCAUAAUCAUUAGUCUUUUAAUUGAGGUCUGGAAUGAAUGAUUGGACGAGAUAUAAUCUGUCUCAUUAUAAAUUUAAAUUAAAAUUUUAUUUUUUAGUCAAAAAGCUAAAAUUAAUUUAAAAGACGAGAAGACCCUAUAGAUCUUUAUAUUUGUAGUAUAACUUACUAUUUUAGAAAAUUUAAGUAAUUAUAUUUAUAAGUAUUUUGUUGGGGUGACAUUGAAAUUUAUAAAACUUUUGAUUAAUAUAAAACAUAUAUUAAUGAUUUAAAUUUGAUCCUGUAAUAUGGAUAAAAAAAAUAAGUUACCUUAGGGAUAACAGCGUAAUUAUUUCGGAGAGUUCAUAUUGAUGAAAUAGAUUGCGACCUCGAUGUUGGAUUAAGAUUAAUAAUAGGGGCAGUUUCUUAUUAUAUUAAGUCUGUUCGACUUUUAAAUUCUUACAUGAUCUGAGUUCAAACCGGCGUGAGCCAGGUUGGUUUCUAUCUUUAAAUAUUUAUAAUAUUUUAGUACGAAAGGACCAAAUAUUAAAAUUUUUUUUUAAAAAAGUUGAAUUUAAUUAACA